rfam:Halobacillus halophilus DSM 2266 complete genome
ACUACCUUUAAGGAAGUCCCGUGAGGCUUAAAAGGUCGUAAUGAUAUACGUGUUCCAAUAACACGUCUACCUCUUUGCGCACUUUUAAGCAAGGAGGUUUUUUUAUG